rnacentral:lncRNA from 1 species
GUAGACUUGCUCUGUGGUCAGCAAGGCUUUGGAGGGAGGUGCUGUAUGCUUUCAUUGUCAAAGAAGUCAGAGUCUUUCCUUAACUAAUUGUAUCUGACAAAUCCAAAGGCAAGGCGAGGGUAGAAAGUGAAUCUCAGGGGCCCGAGGAGAGUACCAGGGGCCAGCGGCCUGAUGAUUGGAAGUCUUGCGAGACCUGCAGGAGAGGAAUGGACAGCACAAGUGACGGAUGUGAGACACAAUCGAGCAUGCCCCCGAGCAGAAAACCAUCACGACUGGUCUUACACGUGUGUGCGUUCUCUGAAU